rnacentral:lncRNA from 1 species
CCCCGCCAUCCCAGCAGGUCAACUACAUCGCCUCACAACCAGAUGGGAAACAAGUGCAGGGCUUUCCGAGUGCAUCUCAUGUAAGUAAUAACAUGAAUACACAAGUGUUGCCUGCUCCAUCAGCAGCCCCAGCAAACACCGGAUCAGUUCAGGGACCAAGUUCUGGUAAUACUUCGUCAUCAAGUCACGUCCAAGCCGCUAACGCUGCUGUAAAAUUGGCAGAAAGCAAAAAAUUGCAGAUUCAAGAGAAAGCAGCACAGGAGGUGAAACUAGCUAUUAAGCCAUUUUACCAGAAUAAAGACAUCACUAAGGAAGAGUACAAAGAGAUCGUUCGGAAGGCUGUGGACAAAGUUUGUCAUAGUAAGAGUGGAGAAGUAAAUUCUACUAAAGUGGCAAAUCUGGUUAAAGCGUAUGUAGACAAGUACAAAUACUCUCGGAAGGGAAGCCAGAAGAAAACGCUGGAAGAACCCGUGUCUACUGAAAAAAACAUAGGCUGACAUGAGGAGCCUUGUAAAGGACACUGUCAAGAUAUCUGUAAAGUGCAAUUCAACGUGUAUCUUACUGAGAAUCAUGCACAACUGUGAUGGAAAUCUGGUUUUGAUAAAAUUAUUUUUUUUAUUGUAGGAUAUGUUUUGUUCAAAAUAUAGCUGUGCACUGCAACUUCUAUAUCUAACCUUAAACCCCAAUAAAACAAAUUCAAGGGGAAA